rnacentral:lncRNA from 1 species
CUUUUAAUAGAUUAUAUAUGUUCUGGUGUUGUGUUUGGUGUGUAUGGCGUUCUAUGGACGCCAAGCUCUAGAUACAACUCCACGUAAAUGAAUAUUCUUAGAGCCACUGGUAUUAUCCAGACAAUUUGGAUAGAAUAUUGUUAGAUUGGAGCAUGAUCUGUAUUCAAUUAGACGAAGAGAUACUGCAUAUUUGUUAUGGCAACAUAAAAUCUCAUAAUACAAAUUCGCCAACUGACAAGCAUUAAUUUCUUAAACCAUUAAGCAUGUGCAAAAAAUAAUAUUUUGCACAAUGUUUCCAUGUACAAUAGUUCCAUUACAAGCAAAGUUAACUAUUAAUUUGAACGGCAAUGAAAAUACUACAUAAUUUACAACAAUUUUAGUGCCAAUCACGUAGGGUUCGACAAAUUCAAGAAAACUCUUCACUCGGUCUCAUAGUUGGAAUAAAUUCAUGAGCAUUUUUCCGAUCCUUUCCCAUUAUCCUCCGUAGCUUCCUUGCGGACGGACAUGUUGAUGAAUAUCACGACGACUUCUUUUUUUGAUAUUUGAGUAGUUCUCACCAACAUAGAUGACAAAUCUUUAAUGAGAUCUUUAGUCUUGCCUUCUCCAUUAGAGUCAUAUUCAGGUUUCCAAACAUGCAGCAUAGAUAUGUCAAGAGUCAUUCUCAGCUAAUAAAACAAAAAUUCAUAUGGAUAAAAUGUCAAAAGUUUCCAAGUGCUCUAAGUUCUUAAUACCAAAUGUCGAAACAAAGUUGAAGAUACUAAGAAUCCAAACUAUAAAAACACAUGACAAAGCAAACAAGCAUUUGCUGAAAAAAAUUCACUUAUAAAACCCAAGCCGUAAAAGAAGAUACUUCAGGCCAGAGAACCUAGAAAAGUAUUACAUCUCUCGCUUUUACAUGAGACGAAACCAAAUAAGAUGUAAACUGAAAUAUUAUAUUAGUUACGAAAUUAUGAAGAAUCUGAUAAUACAGAUUACAGACCAAUAAUUGAUGCAAAAAAGAACAGAACAUAUCCACUUCCAAAAUUAGGGAUUUUUCAAGGUUGAAAACCCACCACCAAUUCCACUAACAUAGAUACGUCAGAGACAUUCUCAGCGCUCAUACAUACAAACUAUAUCCUUGCACCAAGUCACCUCCUAGUCUUCGGAAAAGCACCAAAAUAUGGUUAAUAAUGCGAGAAGACCAAAAUAUAGAAUUACCAGAUACGUGCGCGUAAGUCGUCCAGCCGACUAAUUUGCUUCUUCGCGAAUUUGGUGGUUUAGCUUAUGGGAAGAUGACGGAUGAUAGAGGGAUGGGAGAUUAAGGGCACAAAUUUAUCUUGUGCCGAGAUUUUCAAAAUUGGAGGAGAAGCGAUUUGGGCAAAUCGCUAGGGUUCGACUUCCGGUGUGAAGUCAUUUUGAGAUUCUGAGUUAAUUGAGGGGUGUAUUUAAUUGGAACUUUUGAAAUUUUGAU